CGGAAAUACCCCGUGAACCUUUACUAUAGCUUGACACUGAACAUUGAGCCUUGAUGUGUAGGAUAGGUGGGAGGCUUAGAAGUGUGGACGCCAGUCUGCAUGGAGCCGACCUUGAAAUACCACCCUUUAAUGUUUGAUGUUCUAACGUUGACCCGUAAUCCGGGUUGCGGACAGUGUCUGGUGGGUAGUUUGACUGGGGCGGUCUCCUCCUAAAGAGUAACGGAGGAGCACGAA
rnacentral:rRNA from 1 species